rnacentral:rRNA from 1 species
UAGGACGGCCAUAGCUACCUGGUUCCACCUGUUCCCAUCUCGAACACAGCAGUUAAACAGGUACACGUUCCAAUUGGUACUGCAUUUUAUGUGGGAAGAUUGGUUAGCUGUCCACU